UUAAUUGUCUAAGGCAAAUUCUCAUCUAGUUGUGGUAGACUCACACCUGACUGCUUAUAAAAUUGGUUGGUUUUUUGUUUUCGAAGAGAUU
rfam:Populus trichocarpa scaffold_1_contig_809, whole genome shotgun sequence.